GACGAACGCUGGCGGCGUGCUUAACACAUGCAAGUCGAGCGGUAAGGCCCUUUCGGGGGUACGACGAGCGGCGAACGGGUGAGUAACACGUGGGUGACCUGCCCUCAGCUCUGGGAGUAAGCCUGGGAAACCGGGUCUAAUACUGGAUAUGACUCCAUGACGCAUGUUGGUGGGGUGGAAAGCCUUGUGCGGCUGAGGAUGGGCCCGCGGCCUAUCAGCUUGUUGGUGGGGUGANGGCCUACCAAGGCGACGACGGGUAGCCGGCCUGAGAGGGCGACCGGCCACACUGGGACUGAGACACGGCCCAGACUCCUACGGGAGGCAGCAGUGGGGAAUCUUGCGCAAUGGGCGAAAGCCUGACGCAGCGACGCCGCGUGAGGGAUGAC
rnacentral:rRNA from 1 species